rnacentral:piRNA from 1 species
UGGGAACUAAACCCACAACAAGUGCUCUUAG